rnacentral:rRNA from 1 species
GACGAACGCUGGCGGCGCGCUUAACACAUGCAAGUCGAACGGAAAGGCCCUGAUCUUGCGGGGUGCACGAGAGGCGAACGGGUGAGUAAAACGUGAGUAACCUGCCCCUGACUUUGGGAUAACUUCAGGAAACUGGGGCUAAUAUCGGAUAGGAGCUUCUGCUGCACGGUGGGGGUUGGAAAGAUUCGGCGGUUGUGGAUGGACUCGCGGCUUAUCCGCUUGUUGGUGGGGUAGUGGAUUACGAAGGCUUUGACGGGUAGCCGGCCUGAGAGGGGGACCGGCCACAUUGGGACUGAGAUACGGCGCAGUCGCCUACGGGACGCAGCAGGGGGGAAUAUUGCACAGUGGGCGGAAGCCAGUUGCAGCAGCGCCGCGUGCGGGAUGACCGCCUUCGGGUUGUAAACCGAUUUCGCCGGUGACGAAGCGUGAGUGACGGUAAUUGGUAAAAAAGCACCGGCUAACUACGUG